AAUGUUGCCAUAGUAAUUGAACUUCGUAUGGAAGGAACCGUUCAUUCGGAUAAUUGGUAUUUGAGCUUGCUUAGGCAGGCAAAGGUCAGAGGCUAUCAUCCAUUGGGAUAUGGCUGAACGCCAUCAAGUCAGAACCCGUGCUGGAGCGCGACGAUUAUUGUCUUGUCCGAUUUUUAGUUGAAUACGAAUAGAUCUUCGGAUCCUGAAACAUACUACAGGGGGUCGAUCUUGCAGAGUGGAAAGACUUCCUAAUGUUAAUUUCAAAUAUUGGGAGAGACAAAUCCAUUGCGAAUGACUUUAAUUGAACAGGGUAUUGUAAGCAGAAGAGUAGCAUUGUUGCCAUGAUCUGCAGAGAUUAAGCCCAUUGUUCUACAGAUUU
rnacentral:ncRNA from 1 species